rnacentral:piRNA from 1 species
UGGGAUUACAGGCAUGAGCCACCGCGCCU